UGCAAAACAAAUAUCAGUGAGUGAGGGUGCGCUGUAGAUAGUUAGUAACAGUUAAAUUAGUUAGAAAUGUCAUUAUUGACAGACUUUGUGAAUUGUGUGUGCGUGCAACUGAUUUCUGGAGCACUGCAGUAUUAGAGAUGAAGGUUUUGUUGCUUUGGCUUCAUCUCUCAGAUCAAACCCAUCACACCUGACUGAACUUAAUCUGAGCAGAAAUGAACCAGGAGAUUCAGGAGUGAAGCUGAUCUCUGAUCUGCUGAAGGAUCCACACUGUAAACUACACAAACUACACGAACGGCCGGUUUGGACUACAGCCCUCUACUUCCCGGUUGAAUGACGUCAAAGCAAGUGUGUUUGACUAAACUCCACCCUGGCUAAGCUAAGCUGCUGUCAAAUCACAACACACUAAUAACAAACUACACAAUCAGAACUCAUUACGUAUUUCUGAAGGAGGGACUUCAUAGGACAAAGAAGACAUCAGCCGUUUUUAGGACAGUGAAAGCACUAUAUAGAUAAGUAGAUUGUGUGAAAAAUACCGCAUGUGAAACAUGAACACAUGUUAUAUUGUGCACUGUAAACACAAUCAAAGCUCAUUUUAUUUAAAGAUCAUAUCCAAUUUGGGUUUAAAUGCAGAUUUUAAUCUUUCAUGCCAUGAAGGCAAUAACGCCGAAACAUCUGUCCUUGUAUUGUUUGAUUAGAAAAACAGGUCUAAGCACCUAAAGCUGGGAGAGCAUGGUGAGGGCGUUGAUUGAACUAGAUCUAUUGACCCCUCAUUGAUCUCAUAGACUAUGUUUACACUGUCAGUUUAAAUCUGAUUUUUGUGUAUAUCCAAUUUGAAUGACUGACUGUACACACUGUGUAUGACAACUCUUCGUGUUUGAUUUGUGUGACCUGAUGUGCAUUAUCUUUUAUCCAAAAUAGCUGCAUUGGUUUAUAGCAAUGACGUUGCGUUGAUGUGUUUGAAAUAAAUGUGCUUGAGUUCAUGCAGCAACAACCAGUUUUCAUAAAUGAAAAAUAAAAUAUUGUCUUUUUA